UGUAUGCAGAGUUUCCGCUUUAGCCCUUAGCUUUGGCUUGUUGGGUUUUCAGUGUAUUCCCAUUGGGUUAUAUCUUUGGCACUUUGAGUGGACUUGAUGUGUUUGAAUACUUUUCUAUCUGAGUUAAUUCUUAGUUACUUCAACUUUUGUAUUUUAUAGUGUUUAGCGUUGCUUUGGUGAUGUUUGAUUUUACCUGACUUUGUCUAAUUCACUCUUGUGUUUUGCGCUUGAUUCACUUUCUGAUUUGCACUAUAAUGAUGCUUGGAGAUAUGGCAUGGUGUGUUUGAUGCUUUUGUUUCUUUUUGCUGCUGAUUUGUCAACUAUGCUUUUACAAGUGUGAGUACAUUUGGGCGGGUUAUUAACUUGGCAAAUUAAUUUAGGGCAGGAUAGGUUAAUUGUGUAUCAGGGCUGGCCACCUUGGUCGUUUACUUUUGUAAGUCCUAUCCGCUAUAUUAUUUGUGUAUCGGGACAUUUUGACCUUUGGGGUCAGUUUAAUAGAUGUCAACGGAUGUCUGUUUUGACUUAUCUUUCAUAGUCUUCCCAGUUGGGGAUUUUUGUAGACAUGAUAUGUUUAAAUCUUUUGCUACUUUCACUUGUGAGUUGUGGCGGUCCAUUUGAAGUUAAUAAUCUUAGGGUUUACCUUAUUUGGUAAUUAUAGGUUUGAUUAGGCCUCUGGUUUCACCAUUAUGUUGUGACGAUGGAAAUUAAUCCCUCUCAAGGCUAGUGUGUUUAUAGUUUAUCUGUGGCACACUCUGAGUAGGUUUUCGUGUAUCAUGCUUGUGGAACUUAUCGAUUUCUGUUUCAAGAUCUGUUUUAUCAGAGCAGCAGUUUGGUUUAUGCAGUCAGCAUAAGUCCUUUCAAUUGGUUUGCAUUUUAUUUGAGGCAUUAUUAUUGUUUUGUGUUGUGAAUGAACUUGACGUUGGUCUUUAACAUUUAGCUUUGGGCAUUUUCUAUUCUCAUUAUUUUGGGGGGGUAAUAGUCAUCCAAGGCUCCUAUCUUGUGCUAUAGCACUUUUAAUUUCUUUCUUCCUUUUUUUUUGGAGAGUAGCUUACAAUCUUUUUGGUCGGGGGGGAUGUUACGGUUCCCCGUAACUUUUGUUUUCUAACAAACCUGACACGGAGGCGCCUGGAGCAUAGGCAGCCCGAUCUACCACGUGCCCGGUCUCGCGGCGGAGUGGCAGUUGCCCGCCUAGUGCGUAGGCAACCCUUUACGCCAUAGUUCCCUGCUUGGCCGGGAGAUGGGUCUGCCCUUGCACCGGGUCGCUUCCGCUUGUCCCCUCCCCCUUCCACCUUUCUCGCUCAGCUGGUUCGGUCCCCGGCUCGGUGUGUCAGAGCUGAACUGAACACCGACCCGGGCGAACCACCAGCUCCGCACAACAUCUCACUUUUCCCCGGGUCUAUUCUUGUCGGGCAAGACUUAGACGCCUGCAUCAUGACUGGCUUUGAGCCAAUGGUUUCAUGGAGACCUUUUUGAUUGGAUGUUUCUCCUCGCCUGCCAUGUCGUCUAACCUCAAGUUCAUCACUCAACUGGAGUUCAAUCGUGCUGACGUUUAUGUAUCGGAUUCUUCCGGAUUUGUGUAUCUUUGUGUACCGUAACGAGUGGCCAUGGUGCCCUUCAAUGCCGUUGUGCUGUCUUUCGGGACUUCCUAGUUGUUUGAGCCUCUCUGCCAUUGUGCCUCAAGUCUGUAUGUAAUAAACUGUGAUAUUGCAA